GCGUGGGGGGUGCUACCAUGCAGUCGAACGCUGAAGCACCAGCUUGCUGGUGUGGAUGAGUGGCGAACGGGUGAGUAAUACGUGAGUAACCUGCCCUUGACUCUGGGAUAAGCCCGGGAAACUGGGUCUAAUACUGGAUGCUACAUGUCACCGCAUGGUGGUGUGUGGAAAGGGUUUACUGGUCUUGGAUGGGCUCACGGCCUAUCAGCUUGUUGGUGAGGUAAUGGCUCACCAAGGCGACGACGGGUAGCCGGCCUGAGAGGGUGACCGGCCACACUGGGACUGAGACACGGCCCAGACUCCUACGGGAGGCAGCAGUGGGGAAUAUUGCACAAUGGGCGAAAGCCUGAUGCAGCGACGCCGCGUGAGGGAUGACGGCCUUCGGGUUGUAAACCUCUUUCAGCAGGGAAGAAGCCACAAGUGACGGUACCUGCAGAAGAAGCGCCGGCUAACUACGUGCCAGCAGCCGCGGUAAUACGUAGGGCGCAAGCGUUGUCCGGAAUUAUUGGGCGUAAAGAGCUCGUAGGCGGUUUGUCGCGUCUGCUGUGAAAGCCCGGGGCUUAACCCCGGGUGUGCAGUGGGUACGGGCAGACUAGAGUGCAGUAGGGGAGACUGGAAUUCCUGGUGUAGCGGUGGAAUGCGCAGAUAUCAGGAGGAACACCGAUGGCGAAGGCAGGUCUCUGGGCUGUUACUGACGCUGAGGAGCGAAAGCAUGGGGAGCGAACAGGAUUAGAUACCCUGGUAGUCCAUGCCGUAAACGUUGGGCACUAGGUGUGGGGGACAUUCCACGUUUUCCGCGCCGUAGCUAACGCAUUAAGUGCCCCGCCUGGGGAGUACGGCCGCAAGGCUAAAACUCAAAGGAAUUGACGGGGGCCCGCACAAGCGGCGGAGCAUGCGGAUUAAUUCGAUGCAACGCGAAGAACCUUACCAAGGCUUGACAUAUACCGGAUCGUUCCAGAGAUGGGUUCUUCCCCUUUGGGGUCGGUAUACAGGUGGUGCAUGGUUGUCGUCAGCUCGUGUCGUGAGAUGUUGGGGUUAAGUCCCGCAACGAGCGCACCCUCGUUCCAUGUUUGUCAGCACGUGAUGGUGGGACUCAUGCAGACUGCCCGGGGUCACUCGAGAGGUGGAGAUGACGUCCAAUCAUCAUGCCCCUUAUGUCUUGCACUCAGGCAUGCCUACCAUUGCGGUACGAAUCUGCGAAUUCUGUAGUGAUCCUAAUCCGAAAAGGCCGGAAUCUCUCAAAGCU
rnacentral:rRNA from 1 species